rnacentral:rRNA from 1 species
UAUCUCUGUAGAGUCUGCAUAUCAAUAAGCGGAGGAAAAGAAACUAACUAGGAUUCCCUCAGUAACGGCGAGUGAAGCGGGAAGAGCUCAAAUUUGAAAUCUUCAAGGUUCUACCUUGACGAAUUGUAGUUUAAAGAAGUGUUUUCUGUUGGAGUUUUGGUAAAAGUUCUUUGGAAUAGGACAUCAUAGAGGGUGAGAAUCCCGUAUUUGACCAUUAUUUCCAGCUUUGUGAUACACUUUCAAAGAGUCGGAUUGUUUGGGAAUGCAGUCCAAAAUGGGUGGUAAAUUUCAUCUAAAGCUAAAUACUGGCGAGAGACCGAUAGCGAACAAGUACCGUGAGGGAAAGAUGAAAAGAACUUUGAAAAGAGAGUUAAACAGUACGUGAAAUUGUCAAAAGGGAAGCGUUUGACACCAGUGUUGUUUUCUCGAAAAUCAAUUAAAAAAGGCAGGAUUUUGUGUUGUAUUGACUUUAUCAGCUUUCUGCACUCCUUUCUUGUCUUUUUUAAUGCACUUUUCGUUUAACAAGUCAACAUCAAUUUCUUUUGUUGUAAAAGAGUCAUUGGAAGGUGGCUUUCACUUUCGGAUGAAAGUGUUUAUAGCCCUUGGCCUCUGCAAUCGGAGAGAUUGAGGUCUGCAGCGUAGAUCCUUCGGGGUUAGAUACAGUUAGAUGCUAAGUUAUAGCCUUUCUAUAGACAACUUGUUGACUAUAAUCAGUCAUGUAGCUUACUCGCUUAUGGCUAUUUUACCUACGCUUAGGAUGUUGACGAUCAGCUGAGCGCG